rnacentral:rRNA from 1 species
AAGCGUUUAUGACCAGACUUGGGCUUGGUUAAUCAUCUGGGGUUCUCCCCAGUGCACUUUUCCAGUCCAGGCCAGCAUCAGUUUUCCCCGGGGGAUAAAGGCGGCGGGAAUGUGGCUCUCUUCGGGGAGUGUUAUAGC